GAUGAACGCUGGCGGCGUGCCUAAUACAUGCAAGUCGAGCGAACAGACGAGGAGCUUGCUCCUCUGACGUUAGCGGCGGACGGGUGAGUAACACGUGGAUAACCUACCUAUAAGACUGGGAUAACUUCGGGAAACCGGAGCUAAUACCGGAUAAUAUAUUGAACCGCAUGGUUCAAUAGUGAAAGACGGUUUUGCUGUCACUUAUAGAUGGAUCCGCGCCGCAUUAGCUAGUUGGUAAGGUAACGGCUUACCAAGGCAACGAUGCGUAGCCGACCUGAGAGGGUGAUCAGCCACACUGGAACUGAGACACGGUCCAGACUCCUACGGGAGGCAGCAGUAGGGAAUCUUCCGCAAUGGGCGAAAGCUUGACGGAGCAACGCCGCGUGAGUGAUGAAGGUCUUCGGGUCGUAAAACUCUGUUAUUAGGGAAGAACAAAUGCGUAAGUAACUAUGCACGUCUUGACGGUACCUAAUCAGAAAGCCACGGCUAACUACGUG
rnacentral:rRNA from 1 species